AGGGUUCUGUGGCUCGUUUGGAUGCUGCAAGGAGUCUGGAUUUAUGUAGGAAUCCGAUCAGCAGUAAGUUUGAGGUCUUUAAAAGGCCUAUGGGUGAAACAGUGGCUCGUAGGUGGUAGCGUGAUCGACAAAAAACCAUGAAUCAGAGUGCGCAGCAAAAUCGAGAGCAGGAUUUGGGAGUAGCAAUCAAAGGAGCACCGUUAGAGAGUAGAAACAGGGCUUCGAGCUCACUGUCAGACAGUGGUUAUUUAAAGAGUUUAGAAGGUCUUCUAGAGAGAACUUUUAUAAGAAAGAGCUUCUUGUUGAGAAAGAGAGAUUGGUGUAUGAGGGUUGAGGAUGUGAUCUACUCUUAUAUUUUUUUUUCUCAUAGUUAAGCUUGCAUGCAGCGUGAAGGCGAGCUUUUUGGCUGAUCCAUGUAUUUGAUUGUAUUCUUAUUUUAUUUCUUCUUUCUUUCUACUAUAAUGCAUGCUAUCAGAUCCUGCACAACAAGUGAUAUCAAAAUCUGGUUGUACUAAGGUGCAGAUUUUGGUGGUGGAGAUCAAGAUUGAAGAUGAAGAAAAUAGGCUCAAUCAAGGUGGAGAUCAAUAGGUUUGAUGGAAAGAGCAAUUUCUACUUAUGGCAAGCAAAGACGAAGGACAUACUUAUCUAGCAAAGAUUGAUUGAUGCUCUCUUAUGCAAUGAGAAGUCGACUAUCAUGGAGGUGCAAGAUUGGAGAUAGCUCCAGAUAC
rnacentral:lncRNA from 1 species